rnacentral:lncRNA from 1 species
GGAAGGAAGAAAAUGAUUUUGAUGUGUGAAAUGCAGAGUCAAAUAGAUUUCCCAGAAGAAUUUCAACUGUGGAAUGAAGGGCCUGUGGGAGUUAUGAUGAAGCGUCAAGCCUGGAGGGGAGAGAAGAGGGGAGGAAUGGUGUCAAAGAGUGAUUGAUAACAGAAGUGUCCAGAUGUUUUUAUUAUUUACAUUUUACUCCCAGUGCUGUAUGUGUAAAUACUAGCAAGGUUAGUAACAGGAGUUACAAAAGAUGCU